GCCUGGGUGGCUCAGUAGGUUGAGUGGCUGACUUCAGCUCAGGUAAUGAUCUCGCAGUUUGUGAGUUCGAGUCCCAUGUCAGGUU
rnacentral:tRNA from 1 species